rnacentral:rRNA from 1 species
UACGGAGGGGGCUAGCGUUGUUCGGAAUUACUGGGCGUAAAGCGCACGUAGGCGGACCAGCAAGUUAGGGGUGAAAUCCCAAGGCUCAACCUUGGAACUGCCUUUGAUACUGGGGAUCUUGAGUCCGGGAGAGGUGAGUGGAACUGCGAGUGUAGAGGUGAAAUUCGUAGAUAUUCGCAAGAACACCAGUGGCGAAGGCGGCUCACUGGCCCGAUACUGACGCUGAGGCACGAAAGCGUGGGGAGCAAACAGG